rnacentral:rRNA from 1 species
GUGGGGAAUCUUGCGCAAUGGGCGAAAGCCUGACGCAGCCAUGCCGCGUGAAUGAUGAAGGUCUUAGGAUUGUAAAAUUCUUUCACCGGGGACGAUAAUGACGGUACCCGGACAAGAAGCCCCGGCUAACUUCGUGCCAGCAGCCGCGGUAAUACGAAGGGGGCUAGCGUUGCUCGGAAUUUCUGGGCGUAAAGGGCGCGUAGGCGGACAGUUUAGUCAGAGGUGAAAGCCUAGGGCUCAACCUUGGAAUUGCCUUUGAUACGGGCUGUCUUGAGUACGGGAGAGGUGAGUGGAACUCCGAGUGUAGAGGUGAAAUUCGUAGAUAUUCGGAAGAACACCAGUGGCGAAGGCGACUCACUGGCCCGUUACUGACGCUGAGGCGCGAAAGCGUGGGGAGCAAACAGGAUUAGAUACCCGAGUAGUCC